rnacentral:rRNA from 1 species
GUGAGGAAUAUUGGUCAAUGGGCGAGAGCCUGAACCAGCCAAAUCGCGUGAAGGAAGACUGCCUUAUGGGUUGUAAACUUCUUUUAUACAGGAAUAAAAAAGGGGACGUGUCCCUUAUUGCAUGUACUGUAUGAAUAAGCAUCGGCUAACUCCGUGCCAGCAGCCGCGGUAAUACGGAGGAUGCGAGCGUUAUCCGGAUUUAUUGGGUUUAAAGGGUGCGCAGGCGGGCUUUUAAGUCAGCGGUGAAAUCUCGGGGCUUAACUCCGAAACUGCCGUUGAAACUGGGAGUCUUGAGUAUGGAUGAAGUAGGCGGAAUUCGUUGUGUAGCGGUGACAUGCUUAGAUAUAACGAGGAACUCCGAUUGCGUAGGCAGCUUACUAAGCCAUAACUGACGCUCAAGCACGAAAGCGUGGGGAUCAAACAGGAUUAGAUACCCCGGUAGUCC